UACAUUCCUCAUUGUUUGAAAUAUUUAAAAAGAAAUGAAAUUUACUUAUUUCUUUGCCAAAUAUUAAUUACAAGAUGAUUAAGAUAUGUAACGAAAUAUCAAUUUGUUAUAUAAAAAAACAUUUUGUUGACAUAUUUUCUAUGGAGCAAUAUCCGUUUCUAACAGCAGUCGAACCAAAUUACGGCUCAGGCAUGCUCUUAGUUUGAUUUUUAAAAAAUCUAUUUUCUUCUUCAAGAAACAAUUUCUUUCAAAACCUGCCUCACUUUAUAAUUAUAUCCUUAAUUAAGAAGAAAGAAUAAGAAAUUACAGUAUUUUACUAGAAAUAAAUAACAUCGAAUCGGUGUGUAGAAGGACAUUGAAUAGAUUUUAUUCUAUCAAAGACGGUAAAUCUGUUGAGGUCUUUUUUUUUUUUUAAUUAUUUCUCUCCUAAAAACAGAAAUGAAGACCUGAGUUUUUAUUAAUUAAUUCUGUCAGAUUUAUAAGCAUUCGCGUGAGUGAAGAGAAACAAAUAAAAGAGAUAUGGAAAAAGAGAAAAAUCCCGGAUCCAGAUUAAUAUUUUCGUCCGUUUUAGAACCGAAGGAUGAUCUCGAAGAGAAGUGUGAAAGAUUCUAUGCAGUGUUGACCAGCAUCACAAAUGGACUCUCAGAAAGAGAAUGCAAUGAUGCAUUAAAUGCCCAUGUGGGGAAAGGCCCAAACCAACAUGAAGAGAUCCAGCUGGGCCAGUUAUAUGCCAUACUUGUUGAACCUAAAAUGGCAGCUAAGAUGUACCGUGACAUGACAUUGGUCAGCAGGGAUGGGAUGGUGCUUGUCCAAGGUUUCCUUGGUAAGAUCAUUCAUGACAAAUGGCUAAAAAUACUUCAACCGGUUAAAGUACAGAUUUUAUGGCUGAUGAGGGAGUUUGUGAAGAAUGCAGUUGUUGGAUCUGAUGGCACAUGUUUCGCAUUAAUUCGGCAGAUAGCUGGUGGAGAUGUUAGUCCAAAGAAUUUGUGGCUUGCUGAACAAAUGUUAGACUUACUCUCUGAAAACCGAGCUUGGUUAGAGAGAUUCCCCACUCUGAUGGCUGCCAGUGUGUAUACCUAUCUUCGUAUCAUCAUUGAUCAUGGUAAUCCAGCUUAUGCUAAUCUCAGGAAUCGAGAAGUGGAAUUCUGCGUCAGUUUAUUGCGUGAUAAGUUUAUUGACUGUGUUAAUAUAAUAGGACGUGAUUUGGCCAGGGUGUUGCAGAAUGUGGCCAGAAUUCCUGAAUUUGAAAAGUUGUGGCGUGAUAUAAUGUACAACCCAACUUCAUUAAAUCCCAAUUUUACAGGUAUUGUACAGUUGUUGCAAGCUCGAUCCUCCAGACGUUUGUUAAUGAGUCGUCUCACUCCUGACAUGGAAAACAAAUUGAUGUUUUUAACAACCAAGGUGAAAUUUGGGCAACAUAAACGUUAUCAAGAUUGGUUCCAAAGACAGUAUCUUUCCACACCUGAAAGCCAGUCUCUACGCUGUGAUUUGAUACGAUAUAUUUGUGCUGUGUUUCAUCCGACUAAUGAGCUCCUUUGUUCAGAGAUUAUACCUCGCUGGGCUGUGAUUGGUUGGCUACUCACGACAUGCACAUCGAAUGUAGCAGCUUCAAAUGUGAAACUGAGUCUCUUUUAUGACUGGCUGUUAUUUGACCCUGACAAAGAUAGCAUUAUGAAUAUUGAGCCAGCAAUUCUUGUCAUGUACCAUUCCAUGCGGCCACACCCUGUUAUCACAGCAACUCUUUUAGAUUUUAUGUGUCGGGUGAUGCCCAAUUUUUGUCCUUCUCUCUCAGUACAAGUACGACAAGGAAUCUACACUUCUUUGCGAUCAAUUCUUGAGAAACGGGUUCUCCAGUCUUUAUCUCCUUUAUUUGAUAAUCCCAAAUUGGAUAAAGAACUCCGGGCUUUAAUUAGAGAGAAUUUCAUUGAAUUUUGUUCUCCAGAUAUUGUCAAAGAAGAAGCUUCUGUGAAUAAAGACCUCACUGCUGAUGUUGGUGAAUCUGGGAACCAUAUUGUGGAGAUGAGCAGCUUGUCUGAUGGAGUGUUUAGUGAUGAUGAAGAUGACAUUCCAUUAGGGAAGCUGGUUGGUGACACCAAGAUAAAGCCUUUCAGAAACGGCCCCCGAUUCCAGCCAAUUGAUAUCACUGAACACAUCCAACUUCUUCAGCAUGAACUGCGACAGUUGACUAUUGAGCUGCAGAAUGAAACUGAUCAGGAAGUCCAAUGUGAAAUCAUUGACAAAUUGGUACAACAUAUUCUCCGAGAUGAAGAUUUUGACCAAGACAUGGCAUCUACACUUGCUAUAUGUUUGUGUCAAAUCCUUGGCCAUUUAUUUAUGAGUAAUUUAUUUCCACAGGAAGUAGAUGAAGAGUCCAUUGAAGAUUCUAUAGGAACACCACUAUUUGUGAUAUUUAGAAACUUCUGUUCUACUGCUGAAGAGGAUCCUAUUCGACAGCCAUUAUUGUUCCUGAUGGAUGAAAUGUACCAGAAACAGCCCCAUA
rnacentral:misc_RNA from 1 species